UACGGAGGGUGCAAGCGUUAUCCGGAUUCACUGGGUUUAAAGGGUGCGUAGGCGGGUAUAUAAGUCAGUGGUGAAAGCUCCGGGCUUAACUUGGAAACUGCCAUUGAUACUGUAUAUCUUGAAUGCCGUAGAGGUUAGCGGAAUGUUGCAUGUAGCGGUGAAAUGCUUAGAUAUGUUACAGAACACCAAUUGCGAAGGCAGCUAACUAUGCGAUGAUUGACGCUGAGGCACGAAAGCGUGGGGAGCAAACAGG
rnacentral:rRNA from 1 species